UGGGGAAUAUUGCACAAUGGGCGCAAGCCUGAUGCAGCCAUGCCGCGUGUGUGAAGAAGGCCUUCGGGUUGUAAAGUACUUUCAGUCGGGAGGAAGGUGGUAAGGUUAAUAACCUUAUCAAUUGACGUUACCGACAGAAGAAGCACCGGCUAACUCCGUGCCAGCAGCCGCGGUAAUACGGAGGGUGCAAGCGUUAAUCGGAAUUACUGGGCGUAAAGCGCACGCAGGCGGUUGAUUGAGUCAGAUGUGAAAUCCCCGGGCUUAACCCGGGAAUUGCAUCUGAUAAUGGUAAGCUAGAGUCUUGUAGAGGGGGGUAGAAUUCCAUGUGUAGCGGUGAAAUGCGUAGAGAUGUGGAGGAAUACCGGUGGCGAAGGCGGCCCCCUGGACAAAGACUGACGCUCAGGUGCGAAAGCGUGAGGAGCAAACAGG
rnacentral:rRNA from 1 species